rnacentral:rRNA from 1 species
AUUGAACGCUGGCGGCAGGCUUAACACAUGCAAGUCGAGCGAGCGGCGGACGGGUGAGUAAUGUCUGGGAAACUGCCUGAUGGAGGGGGAUAACUACUGGAAACGGUAGCUAAUACCGCAUACCCUCAGAUGUGCCCCGAUGGGAUUAGCUAGUAGGUGGGGGAAUGGCUCACCUAGGCGACGAUCCCUAGCUGGUCUGAGAGGAGGACCGGCCACACUGGAACUGAGACACGGUCAAGACUCCUACGGGAGGCAGCAGUGGGGAAGAUUGCACAAUGGGCGCAAGCCUGAUGAAGCCAUGCCGCGUGUGGGAAGAAGGCCUUCGGGUUGUAAAGCACUUUCAGCGAGGAGGCGUUACUCGCAGAAGAAGCAACGGCUAACUCCGUGCCAGCAGCCGCGGUAAUUC